rnacentral:rRNA from 1 species
CAUAUCAAUAAGCGGAGGAAAAGAAACUAACAAGGAUUCCCCUAGUAACUGCGAGUGAAGCGGGAAAAGCUCAAAUUUAAAAUCUGGCGGUCUUUGGCCGUCCGAGUUGUAGUCUGGAGAAGCGUCUUCCGCGUUGGACCGUGUACAAGUCUCUUGGAACAGAGCGUCAUAGAGGGUGAGAAUCCCGUCUUUGACACGGACUACCAAUGCUUUGUGAUGCGCUCUCAAAGAGUCGCGUUGUUUGGGAAUGCAGCGCAAAAUGGGAGGUGAAUUCCUUCUAAAGCUAAAUAUUGGCGAGAGACCGAUAGCGAACAAGUACCGUGAGGGAAAGAUGAAAAGCACUUUGGAAAGAGAGUUAAACAGUACGUGAAAUUGCUGAAAGGGAAACGCUUGAAGUCAGUCGCGUCGUCCGGAACUCAGCCUUGCUUCGGCUUGGUGCACUUUCCGGUUGACGGGCCAGCAUCGAUUUUGACCGCUGGAAAAGGGCUGGAGGAAUGUGGCACCUUCGGGUGUGUUAUAGCCUUCAGUCGCAUACAGCGGUUGGGAUCGAGGAACGCAGCACGCCUUAUGGCUGGGGUUCGCCCACAUUCGUGCUUAGGAUGCUGGCAUAAUGGCUUUAAACGACCC